UACGUAGGAGGCGAGCGUUGUCCGGAUUCAUUGGGCGUAAAGAGCGCGCAGGCGGCUUGGUAAGUCGGAUGUGAAAUCCCGAGGCUCAACCUCGGGUCUGCAUCCGAUACUGCCCGGCUAGAGGUAGGUAGGGGAGAUCGGAAUUCCUGGUGUAGCGGUGAAAUGCGCAGAUAUCAGGAGGAACACCGGUGGCGAAGGCGGGUCUCUGGGCCGAUACUGACGCUGAGGAGCGAAAGCGUGGGGAGCGAACAGG
rnacentral:rRNA from 1 species